GUGCUCGAAGGAGUUUUGCUUGUUGAGCAUCAAAUAAUGCGGCGUUGCGCUCGCAUCAUUAUAACUGCCCAGGCCAGAUUCUACGAGACAGGUAUCGCCGACAUCUUCGAUCAUGCUCAGCUGAGAGUCUUCAAGUAGCCUAUCAUCAAAAGAAUUUACAAGCGAUCUACGUGCUUUUCUCAUCGAAACGAGGCAAACUGUGCUAGCGUGUCUACGGACAAUAGAGCAGAUAUAUCAUCAUCAUCGAUGCCCUCCACGAUGCGAGAAACGGGACACCUACGUAACGUACGACGAUACAACGUGUUGAACGUGUAAACGAACGUCUGUGCUGAGAACUAGGUUACCGCGAAAACCCCGCUAUGUGAGGCUCCAUCAGGACUGUAAAUUACCGGCAAAUCCCUCCUUCUUCUAUUCCUACGGUGACUAUAUUUUCCGAGAGAAAAUAAAGGACAAGUCUGAAAAUUGUA